rnacentral:rRNA from 1 species
AUUGAACGCUGGCGGCAGGCCUAACACAUGCAAGUCGAGCGAGCGGCGGACGGGUGAGUAAUGUAUGGGGAUCUGCCCGAUAGAGGGGGAUAACUACUGGAAACGGUGGCUAAUACCGCAUACUAUCGGAUGAACCCAUAUGGGAUUAGCUAGUAGGUGGGGUAAAGGCGAACCUAGGCGACGAUCUCUAGCUGGUCUGAGAGGAUGAUCAGCCAAACUGGGACUGAGACACGGCCCAGACUCCUACGGGAGGCAGCGUUGGGGAAUAUUGCACAAGUGGCGCAAGCCUGAUGCAGCCAUGCCGCGUGUAUGAAGAAGGCCUUCGGGUUGUAAAGUACUUUCAGCGAGGAGGCGUUACUCGCAGAAGAAGCACCGGCUAACUCCGUGCCAGCAGCCGCGGUAAUUC